rnacentral:rRNA from 1 species
GACGAACGCUGGCGGCGUGCCUAAUACAUGCAAGUAGAACGCUGAAGGACUAGCUUGCUUCUCCGGAUGAGUCGCGAACGUGUGUGUAACGCGUAGGUAACCUGCCUGGUAGUGGGGUAUAACUAUUGGAAACGAUAUCUAAUACCGCAUAACAGUACAUAAGGCAUGAUAUUUGCUUGAUAGGUGCAAUUGCAGGAUUACCAGAUGGACUUUCGUUUUAUUAGUUAGUUGGUGAGGUAACGGCUCACCAAGGCGACGAUACAUAGCCGACCUGAGAGGGUGAUCGGCCACACUGGGACUGAGACACGGCCCAGACUCCUACGGGAGGCAGCAGUAGGGAAUCUUCGGCAAGGGACGGAAGUCUGACCGAGCAACGCCGCGUGAGUGAAGAAGGUUUUCGGAUCGUAAAGCUCGGUUGUAAGAGAAGAACGAGUGUGAGAGUGGAAAGUUCACACUGUGACGGUAUCUGACCAGAAAGGGACGGCUAACUACGUG